GCACAGUAGAUUAGCCCGUCGUGCUUCCUCGACCGGAUACCGUCAGUCUCCAACGUAUUUAGGUUGGAGCUUUUCGUCCCGAUCAACAGGAGUUUACAAUCCGAAGACCUUCAUCCUCCACGCGGCGUUGCGUCGUCAGGCUUGCGCCCAUUGCGAAACAAUUCCCCA
rnacentral:rRNA from 1 species